GAUGAACGCUGGCGGCGUGCCUAAUACAUGCAAGUCGAGCGAACAGAUAAGGAGCCUGCUCCUUUGACGUUAGCGGCGGACGGGUGAGUAACACGUGGGUAACCUACCUAUAAGACUGGGAUAACUUCGGGAAACCGGAGCUAAUACCGGAUAAUAUUUCGAACCGCAUGGUUCGAUAGUGGAAGAUGGUUUUGCUAUCACUUAUAGAUGGACCCGCGCCGUAUUAGCUAGUUGGUAAGGUAACGGCUUACCAAGGCGACGAUACGUAGCCGACCUGAGAGGGUGAUCGGCCACACUGGAACUGAGACACGGUCCAGACUCCUACGGGAGGCAGCAGUAGGGAAUCUUCCGCAAUGGGCGAAAGCCUGACGGAGCAACGCCGCGUGAGUGAUGAAGGUCUUCGGAUCGUAAAACUCUGUUAUUAGGGAAGAACAUACGUGUAAGUAACUGUGCACGUCUUGACGGUACCUAAUCAGAAAGCCACGGCUAACUACGUG
rnacentral:rRNA from 1 species